GGGGGAGGGGGGGGGGGGGGCGAGCAGAGGGAGGUCGAGCGGCAGCACAGUAAGAGGUGGGUCUUACGGGGGGGGAGUGGCGGACGGGGGGGGGAAACACCGGAAUCUACUUUUUGGUGGGGGAUAACGUCGGGAAACUUCCGCUAAUACCGCAGUCGACCUAGGGGGGACAGCCGUGUUUCUUUGGAACUCCCGCUAUUGAAUAGACCGAUGUCGGAUUAGCUAGUUGGCGGGGGAACGGCCCACCAAGGCGACGAUCCGUAGCUGGUCUGAAAGGAUGAUCAGCCACACUGGAACUGAGACACGGUCCAGACUCCUACGGGAGGCAGCAGUGGGGAAUAUUGGACAAUGGGCGCAAGCCUGAUCCAGCCAUACCGCGUGGGUGAAGAAGGCCUUCGGGUUGUAAAGCCCUUUUGUUGGGAAAGAAAAGCAGCAGGUUAAUACCCCGCUGUUCUGACGGUACCCAAAGAAUAAGCACCGGCUAACUUCGUG
rnacentral:rRNA from 1 species